AGUAUGGUAGCUGAGUGGUUAAGACGUUGGGCUACUGAUCGGAAGGUCUCAAGUUCAAACCCCUGCACUG